GAUAAUCUAAAGGAGACAGUACAACAGGUAAGGUGAAAUAACCUUUCCAGGGUUUCUCCAGCAUCACUGCCUGUACGUGAUUCUUUGCCAGUUUGUAGUAAUAUUGCUAGAUUGUCACCUGGCAUCCUCCGUGCUGUACACGUAUAGUCACUGACGAGGCCAGAGCUAUCUAACAGAAGAAUCCACAGGAUCCUGCUUUGUCUCUUGCUGUGUUCCUUGCUUUGAUGUGGCUGGCUGACCCUACUGCAAAUACAAAGUCUAUUUCUAACAGGGUUUAAGUUGCUUUUUGGGUUUGGUCUCGCUCGCUAUAUGGGAAGUUAGUGGGCAGAGCUGCUAUUGGGAGUACAGCAAUUUGGGAGUGAACACCUGCAAUGCCUGGAGCAAGACAGGUCCUUACAAGUACUAAAACACAAUCACAAGAGGUGCAUGUUGCUGAUUCUGGGAGAAGGGAGAUUGUGUAUGUGUGGGGUUUUUUUUUUUCUUUCCCUGAAUGAAACCCAGGAACGCUCAGUUCUAUUACCAUGAGGCUUUUCUCCCUUUUUCCCCAAGCUGGAAGAGUGAGAUGCUUAGGAGCAGAGUUUCCUAAUGGGUAGCAAAUUAUAAAAGUGCUUAUUGCAAAAAUUAAGAGUUUGGAGGUUGUGACAGUGAUACUGCGAAAGGCAAUGUACUGAAAAACAUACUUGGAAAGAGAAAUGGACAUUAGGAGGAAGAUAAAAAUCUGUUUUGCAAGCUGCAAGCCCAACUGGAGAGGAUUGGGAGAGGCCAGUGUUUGUAGAAAAUGAACAAACAAAAGGAGGGAAAACCUGGGUUCUGUUGCGGUUUCCAUAGCAACACAAUACUUUUCCUGGAAAUAUCAAAUGAUGAGAUCUAAUCUAUCUGCUAUUUAACUCUUGCAUGCAAAGCCCUCUCCUUUCUCAGCUUACCUGCCAUCCUUCACAGCAUCCUCUCUAGUGAUGGGCAUACUCACUGUGCAGCAGUCUGCGUGGGGAAUGAUCUGCCUGGGACAAAGCUGUUCCUGUUCUCUUCCCCCUGUUCCAAAGCACGUAGAAAAGGACAGCUUUUGAGGAAGAGGCAGCGUGUGUGUGAUGGGAAUGACUUUACAGUUAUGCUGGUUUCCUAUAGACCCCAGAGAGGGCUGGGCUGAGCUGGUACUGAGAGCAGAGCCACCAGGCAGGUAUGUGGCUGAGGUGUUGCAUAGCCUGCAGGGUUUACAGCAUAAGGAUGCAUCCUCCUUGGAAAUGAUGCAGCUUAGUGCCCAUCUGAGAACUGCAGAAAACCUUCUGUGGCUGUUUGGAGAGUUCAUCAAAGUAGCCUGACUUAAAUUUGUACCUAGUAGUCCUUUGAAGGGGCUCAGAUGUGGGGAACAAGAGUCCUUGAUGGCAAGGGAAGUUUCUGAUGGAGGAAGGUGGAAGGGUGGCGGUUUUUACCUUUGAUAAAAAGGACAAUUGAGAGAGUGGGCAGCAUGAUAAAAGUCCGUGAAAUUACUAAUGGUCUCAAGUAUGUAGAAAGGAGCAUCUGCUCUUUAUUGAGGAGAGAAGCCCUGAGCAGGUAUGGGAGACCUCACCCCUGUGCAACAAAGGAAACUGAUUCUGCUCCCUGCCUUCUGCCUGUAGCAGCAACACCCUUCGCUCUAUCACCCUUCUUGCCUCUGUAGCCCCUGGCAGGCAGGGCAGAGCAAGCUUUGCAUUGGGGGCUGCUGUUGGAGGGGAGAGCUGUCUGCAGUGGGAGACAAAGAAUUCCUCCUGCCCUUGUAUCUGAAGUCUCCUGCAUGGUAACUAGUUCCCUGCCUUCUCUUACCACCCUCUCCUUGUAUCCCAAAUGAUGCUGUGUAUAUUAUGUAUGUACCUUUAUAAAUGCAUUUGGGGUGGAUGAGUUCUUACUCUUCGAAGGAGUGAAACCUGGGGACUAGUUUGCAAGCUGCUGCUGUGUUACUCCGUCCUAGCACGGUAUGUGAGCUGAGGGCGUAUGAAGAUUUGGGAGAGAAUUUUGCUUAUUUCUAGGAACACUUUUCUGCAUUUCCGUGGGUGAAAGCUGGAGCGCUGGUGAUGCUCCGUCAUGUUAUGGCCUUUGUUUUUGCUACAGGUCUUUAGACUUGAGCUGCAGUGCUGUGGUGUGCAGUAUGUGUGCAGCGCAGGCUGUUUGCAGACCCUUCUGUUGGAGACCCCGUUGUCUGGCUGGCCACAAGUGCAGCAGAGGGAGCUCAGCCUGUGCGAUGUCCCUGGAUCUGUGAGCCUCUGGCUCUGAGGGGCAAGCAGAGCAUCCAGAGGAUGAUGUACAGUGUGUCAGACUUCUGUAUUUAGAUGUUACAGUCAUGUUAAGAGCCUGGCUGUGGCCAGCCCCUGCAAUACUCGGUAAAAGCAAUAUUCUGUUUUAAUAGGUGGGCUUCACGCUGUUCCGUUUUUUUUUUUUUUUUUUCUCUCUGGCUGUUGUUCUGUUGUUAACCUGUUAAUGCUUAUUGAGCCCUGAAUCUUUGUAAUGACUGUCGUUUUCUAUCCACAAUAUUUACAAGGAAACCAGUUUGGAGGGGUUCAAAGAGCAGUAAGCCGGGUACGUGCCAAUAAAUAGGCAGCAGUACUUUAAUGUCUCUUAAAAAACCUGUCCCCCAUUUUAAACACUUCCUAUAUUUCCUCACGUUUCUCCUGACAGCCACCUGUUCAACUUCUGACCUGUUUGUAAAAAUCUCCACGCCAUCUAUCAGAGGGAUACAUGCACUUACAAACUUCUGUUCUGUGGGCAUUAAGUAAAUUAUUUCUUUAAGAUCAUAUGGCAGAUCUAUAAUUAAUUAAACCCUCCAUGAUAUUAGCGCAAAAUAAUUUAGCCUUUCUAAAAAGGUAAAUGUAAUUUGCCGAUCUGGUAUUUGGAAGAAUGCUUUCCCCAAAAUCAAUUCCUUUAGUUUCCAGAGAAUAGAAAUGAGAAGCAAUCUCAUUUUAAUUAUAUCUCUUUAUUGCUAACAAAGGAAUGAUUUAUGCAAUUAAAUUAACUGGCUAGAAAAUUAUUCUCAGCUGGGCUGUCCUAAUUCUUUGCUUUCUGAAUUGCAGGCUCUUACACUUCUCUAUGUAGAUUAAUUUUUCUGAUAUGCAAACAAUGCUCCUUGUGUUCAUUUUUAACAUUUUUUAUUCACAGCUCCCCUUUUCUUAGUGUCAAUGACAUGAGUAAUAUUUGUGCACUGCUGGGCUCUGAUUCAGGCCUUUUUAUGUAGAAAGAUUGGAAAAAAAUCUUUUCUUUUGAAUCUCAUUAUUGCCAGCGCAGAGCCAGGUUUUGAAGUUUUCUUAUCUAUUGCUGAGAAACAGCAGCAGAAACAUGGAGGGACUGCAAAGAUGUCAAAGGAUGCAAACUUGUGAAGGAAAAUGUAUCAGCAUUGAGGAGACAGUCCUGCAGGCUCUCUGCACUGGGUGGUACGGUAUUCCUCCAAGAAUCCCUUGGCUCCCACAGGAAAGGACAUCUUGCAGUGCCUGAGGAAGAGGAUGCCAUUGGGAGCAAACUUACAGUCACUCUGUAGAGCAGGCUUUGAGUUCAAAGUGAUCUAGACUAAAAGAAUGGUUAGCGAGAUGAAAUUCAUGACAAACAUUACCUUUAGGGAGGAAACAUCUGAUCAAAAAAACCAAGAGAAACAGCUGCCUAGGCAAGCAGUACUGCAGGCAGGGAUUAGGGCUCAUAGUGAAUCACAGCUAAAUGAGUCAGAGUGAUGUUCCUUUAAUGAGAAAUCUUAUUCCUGGAAGUAUUAAUAGGAGUGUCAUGUGCAAGUUGUGGGGGUCAGAGGAGAUACAACUGCUCUGUUAUGUGGUGAAGUCUAGGCUGGCAGAAUGUAUCCAGCUCUGCAUGCUGCAUUUCAAAAGCCAGAAAUGGGAAAGAGCUGGGAAAUCGUGACCUGUGGGAUAAGUAAUGACAAGUCUUAUGGAGGGAGAACAACUUCACUUACAGCAAGGGAGAGCGAAGCUGAUACCAGGGAAAACCUCAACGAUAAGCUUCAAUGCUCCCAAUCAACCUGCUAGAAAAAAAACCCUUGAACCCAGUGGAUGUGUCCUUUGGUCCUCCAACUUUACCUGCUUCUAUUAACUUGUAAAACUGAGCUUUUUCCUACCCUGUGGUUGCCUUAUGUUCCAGCAGCUUGUGUGGGUAGAUGGUUUCGUACUUCUCAUCCUCACUCAGCUCCUGUUCCCUGCUACCUGUUUCAUUCUGCUUUGCCAGCAAAUCCCAGCGGGGGCUGGUACUGAAAGCUGCUUCUAAUGAUGACUUAAGGGAAAGGUUUCACCUAGCAGUGCUGAAAAGCCUCUGUUCCUUUUGAAACAGGCAGCAUCUGUAAACAUACAAGGAACAGGGUAAGCAAAAAGAUGUGUUCAUAGUGGAAGGGAAUGAAAGAUGGGGAGGGGGAAAUUAAAAACCACACAAACAAAAAAACCUUCACAAAAUCAACAAAGUACCACUAACAAAAAAAACCAAACCAAAACAGAAGACUGCUCCUUUCCUACAGUUGAUGGCAAGGUGAUGCUUCGCUGGCGUCUUGGGUCGGUUGCCUUACAAAAGGUGUGCUGGGACCACCAGAAAGCUUUUAAUGUGGAGCGGUGUAAGCUGUGAAAACAGGACAGUCCUUUGUUUUAUGGCACUGAAAUAAAGGAGGUGAACACUGCGGUCCCAGGGAAUGUCCAGUUGCAGGUGCAUCUCCAUGGAACCGCUACGGGAGGGAGAGGCGCAGAGCAAAGCCUUCAAACUUGCAAAAUGUUAGGAAACACAGAAUUUAAAAUGCACUUGCUUAUGAACACAGCCAACUUGUCAAGGAAAGUGGCAGUUUCAAGGAUCGGCUCCAGAAGAAAUUGUGCUACAAUCUGAAUUCCAGGCUCCUUUUCUGUUCCUUUACAGAGGAAAUAAGUGAGUUCCCUCCAGAUAGUCAAAUAGAACUAAUAACCUCUCCAUGGACCAUUUCCCCAGCGCACCAGGAUUUAAUUUCACAGGAGCUGAUAUCCAGAUGAAAAGCUGUUGUGGUGAUGCAGGGACUCUCUCUUUCUACAAAAGCAGAACUUCAUUACAGGUGGCUCUUCUCCCUGUGAGAAGAUCCCUGCCCCUGUGCAUCACUUGGUUGAUCCUGCAGAGACGGCUGCCUGGGAAUGCUUUUCCUCUCUGAUAAGGUUUAGUGCUUUGUGAAGCUACUGUGGAUGUGUUCUCUGCAUGCUCUUUUCUUCCAGAUGAGAUGCUGCUAAGAUAUUAGUGAAACGGGCUUGACCUGGCGUAAGAAAGGUGUGUGGCUGGGACUAGAUGCUCUCUAGAAAAGUGGGUGGAACUUGAGAACCUUGUCCCUUUCUCCACGGUUUCUUAAAACAGGAGAAAAAAAAACCCUAGAAAGCCCUAUGUUUGCUCCUGCUUCAUUCUUUACUCUUUGCUGUUUUGUUUCAUCCGGAUUUUGGGUUUAUGUACAAUAUCUUCUGUUUCUGUUCAGGUUCUUGUGAAGCGGGACCCAGCUAGAUGGAGUUUGGACUUGCUAGCGUCAGAGCGGUAUUUGAAUAAAAACAGUUUUCAUGUAUUUUUGUUUCAUUGUAGAACAUUAAAAAAUUAAUAUUUUAAUAAAUAUUAAAUGAAUAGUUAA